rnacentral:tRNA from 2 species
GUCCGGGUGGCGGAAUUGGCAGACGCGCUAGCUUGAGGUGCUAGUGCCCGCAAGGGCUUAGGGGUUCAAGUCCCCUUUCGGACAC